UACGUAGGGCGCAAGCGUUGUCCGGAAUUAUUGGGCGUAAAGAGCUCGUAGGCGGUCUGUUACGUCCGCUGUGAAAACCCAGGGCUUAACCCUGGGCUUGCAGUGGAUACGGGUAGACUAGAGGCAGGUAGGGGAGAAUGGAAUUCCCGGUGUAGCGGUGAAAUGCGCAGAUAUCGGGAGGAACACCGGUGGCGAAGGCGGCUCUCUGGGACGGUACUGACGCUGAGACGCGAAAGCGUGGGGAGCGAACAGG
rnacentral:rRNA from 1 species